AGAGAACAUCAUGGACUUUUCACAGGAGCUGAGAAGGGCCACAGGGGCAGGCCAAGUGAAACCUGAUAUCCAUGAACUGUGUCUUCUAUAUCUACCAACAAGCAAUGAGGCUUAGAGUCCUGAAAUGAUAAAAGUUGACUAACCAAGGCUGCCAGAGCAUUUAUAAGCAGAAGUUUGACGAGCUUUUAUCAUUUGAGUUGAUGCAUUCAAAAGCAAGCUGAAACUAAUAUAGGAACUUUUUUUCCCAUGUGAUUUAAUCCAAGUCUGGGCUCACAAUGGAAAAAUACGGAAACAGUGCUCAAGUGUAAAGGAUCGACAAGAAAACAAAAC
ensembl:lncRNA